rnacentral:rRNA from 1 species
CACGUAGGUGGCGAGCGUUAUUCGGAUUCACUGGGCGUAAAGGGUCCGCAGGGUGCCUGCCAAGUCUGCCGUGAAAUCCCGGGGCUCAACCCCGGGCCUGCGGUGGAGACUGGCGGGCUGGAGUUCGCGAUGGGCAGACGGAACACCUGGUGUAGCGGUGGAAUGCGUGGAUAUCAGGUGGAACACCGACGGCGAAGGCGGUCUGCUGGCGCGCUACUGACCCUCAUGGACGAAAGCGUGGGUAGCAAACAGGAUUAGAUACC